CACUCGUAACAAUACAUAGUAAAGGCAAUACAGAGAGUAUUGAGUAAGUGGAUUAUUACACGCGACAGCAGAUUUAUAAACCGAUGUUUCAACAACAAUGACACAUUUGGUGGAAAAGAAACCUCCUUUCGUUGAAUCAAACACUGUCCAGAAUUGUCAUAAUUGCGAACAGGUAUUCAUAGACUUCAGGAUUAACUGCAGAGCAUGUGGGAAUGUUGUUUGUGAUGAAUGCAGCAAAAAUCGAAUUUGGCUUCAAUACCUUCCCACAGGGAAGCCUCAAAAAGUUUGCGACAACUGCUUAAAUAAAAUUCAG